AAUAUCUCUGGAGAGUCUCUCGAUAGUAGAGCGCCGAAGGUGUACCACAGAUGCAUCGAGCAUUUGUGAAUCUCUCAGGCAAAAGGACAGAGCAUA
rnacentral:ncRNA from 1 species